rnacentral:rRNA from 1 species
UACGUAGGGUGCAAGCGUUAAUCGGAAUUACUGGGCGUAAAGCGUGCGCAGGCGGUUUUGUAAGUUUGUCGUGAAAGCCCCGGGCUCAACCUGGGAACGGCGCUUGGGACGGCGAGGCUGGAGUUCGGGAGAGGAGAGUGGAAUUCCCAGUGUAGAGGUGAAAUUCGUAGAUAUCUGGAGGAACACCGGUGGUGUAGACGGCUUUCUGGACCGUAACUGACGCUGAGACACGAAAGCGUGGGUAGCAAACAGG